rnacentral:rRNA from 1 species
AUAACACUGGUAUAACUCCGGGUAACCGGUGCUAAUACCGGCUAACAUUUUGAAUCGCAUGGUUCUAAAUUGAAAGGCGGCUUCGCUGGCACUUAUGGAUGGACCCGCGUCGCAUUAGCUAGUUGGUGAGGUAACGGCUCACCAAGGCAACGAUGCUUAUCCGACCUGAGAGGGUGAUUGACUACCCUGGGACUGAGACACGGCCCAUACUACUACGGGAGGCAGAAUGUAGGGAAUCUUCCGCACUGGACUACAGUGUGUCAGAGCAACGUUAUGGGAGUGAUAAACGCUUUUUACUCACACAACUGUCUUUUACUAGAAAAAACACGUGCUAUUAAAAUAUGCUGUCGCCUUGACUGUACUAAGCACGCAAGCCACGUUUUAUCCUGAGCCCAG